GCUACCAUGCAGUCGAGCGCGAAAGGCCUUCGGGCUGAGUAGAGCGGCGGACGGGUGAGUAACGCGUAGGAAUCUACCUGGUAGUGGGGGACAACAUGGUGAAAACCAUGCUAAUACCGCAUACGCCCUAUGGGGGAAAGCGGGGGACCUUCGGGCCUCGCGCUAUCAGAUGAGCCUGCGUGGGAUUAGCUUGUUGGUGAGGUAAAGGCUCACCAAGGCGACGAUCCUUAGCUGGUCUGAGAGGAUGAUCAGCCACACUGGAACUGAGACACGGUCCAGACUCCUACGGGAGGCAGCAGUGGGGAAUAUUGCGCAAUGGGCGAAAGCCUGACGCAGCCAUGCCGCGUGUGUGAAGAAGGCCUUCGGGUUGUAAAGCACUUUCAAUUGGGAAGAAAGGUUGCGUGUUAAUAGCACGUAGCUGUGACGUUACCUUUAGAAGAAGCACCGGCUAACUCCGUGCCAGCAGCCGCGGUAAUACGGAGGGUGCGAGCGUUAAUCGGAAUUACUGGGCGUAAAGCGCGCGUAGGCGGUUUGUUAAGUCGGAUGUGAAAUCCCCGGGCUCAACCUGGGAAUGGCAUUCGAUACUGGCCGACUAGAGUACGAGAGAGGGAGGUAGAAUUCCACGUGUAGCGGUGAAAUGCGUAGAUAUGUGGAGGAAUACCGGUGGCGAAGGCGGCCUCCUGGCUCGAUACUGACGCUGAGGUGCGAAAGCGUGGGUAGCA
rnacentral:rRNA from 1 species